rnacentral:rRNA from 1 species
GAUGAACGCUAGCUACAGGCUUAACACAUGCAAGUCGAGGGGAAACGAUAGAGAAAGCUUGCUUUUUCUAGGCGUCGACCGGCGCACGGGUGAGUAACGCGUAUCCAACCUGCCCAUCACUUGGGGAUAACCUUGCGAAAGUAAGACUAAUACCCAAUGACGUCUCUAGAAGACAUCUGAAAGGGAUUAAAGAUUUAUCGGUGAUGGAUGGGGAUGGUUCUGAUUAGCUUGUUGGCGGGGUAACGGCCCACCAAGGCGACGAUCAGUAGGGGUUCUGAGAGGAAGGUCCCCCACAUUGGAACUGAGACACAGUCCAAACUCCUAUGGGAGGCAGCAGUGAGGAAUAUUGGUCAAUGGACGAGAGUCAGAACCAGCCAAGUAGCGUGCAGGAUGACGGCCCUAUGGGUUGUAAACUGCUUUUAUAAGGGAAUAAAGUGGGAGUCGUGACUCUUUUUGCAUGUACCUUAUGAAUAAGGACCGGCUAAUUCCGUGCCAGCCGCCGCUGUAA